UGCAUUCACUACUGUAAGUCGCUCUGGAUAAGAGCGUCUGCUAAAUGACGUAAA
rfam:Salmo salar isolate Sally breed double haploid chromosome ssa10, whole genome shotgun sequence.